CAGUCGCCGCGGGAAUACGAAGGGUGCAAGCGUUAAUCGGAAUUACUGGGCGUAAAGGGAGCGUAGGCGGCGUGGUAAGUCAGAUGUGAAAUCCCGGGGCUCAACCCCGGAACUGCAUCCGAUACUGCCGUGCUAGAGGAUUGGAGAGGUAGCUGGAAUUCUUGGUGUAGCAGUGAAAUGCGUGGAGAUCAAGAGGAACACUCGUGGCGAAAGCGAGCUACUGGACAAUAUCUGACGCUGAGGCUCGAAGGCCAGGGUUGCGAAAGGGAUUAGAUACCCGCGUAGUCCCUGUCUCUUAUAA
rnacentral:rRNA from 1 species